rnacentral:rRNA from 1 species
UACGUAGGUGGCAAGCGUUGUCCGGAUUUACUGGGCGUAAAGCGUGCGCAGGCGGUUUUGUAAGCCAGAUGUGAAAUCCCCGGGCUUAACCUGGGAAUGGCAUUUGGGACUGCAAGGCUUGAGUGCGGCAGAGGAGACUGGAAUUCCUGGUGUAGCAGUGAAAUGCGUAGAUAUCAGGAGGAACACCGAUGGCGAAGGCAGCCUCCUGGGCCAGCACUGACGCUCAUGCACGAAAGCGUGGGGAGCAAACAGG